ACUAUUUUGGCAGAAAAGUGCCAUGGAUUUAGAAUUCAUAAAUGUAAUAUAGUUUUACAAAUAGUA
rnacentral:tRNA from 1 species